UCGUGGGGUGACUUGUCUGCUUAAUUGCGAUAACGAGCGAGACCUUACUCUGCUAAAUAGCCAGGCCCGCUUUGGCGGGUCGCCGGCUUCUUAGAGGGACUAUCGGCUCAAGCCGAUGGAAGUUUGAGGCAAUAACA
rnacentral:rRNA from 1 species